AGAGUUUGAUCCUGGCUCAGGAUGAACGCUGGCGGCGUGCCUAACACAUGCAAGUCGAACGGAGAAUUAAGCGGAAGCUUCGGAUGGAAGCUCAGCACUUAGUGGCGGACGGGUGAGUAACGCGUGGGCAACCUGCCCUGUACCGGGGGAUAACACUUAGAAAUAGGUGCUAAUACCGCAUAAGCGCACGGUCUCGCAUGAGACAGUGUGAAAAACUCCGGUGGUACAGGAUGGACCCGCGUCUGAUUAGCUAGUUGGUGGGGUAGAGGCCUACCAAGGCGACGAUCAGUAGCCGGCCUGAGAGGGUGACCGGCCACAUUGGGACUGAGACACGGCCCAAACUCCUACGGGAGGCAGCAGUGGGGAAUAUUGCACAAUGGGGGAAACCCUGAUGCCAGCGACGCCGCGUGAGUGAAGAAGUAUUUCGGUAUGUAAAGCUCUAUCAGCAGGGAAGAAAAUGACGGUACCUGACUAAGAAGCCCCGGCUAACUACGUGCCAGCCGCUGC
rnacentral:rRNA from 1 species